AUGGCGUCAGAGGAAUCGAGGAAGUCGAGGGAGAAGGUGGAGCAUAUGAUGGAGAAGAUGAAGCUGACAGAUAAGGAAAACAAGAAGUUGGUUGUAGAUGAUCAGGAGAUGGAAGGGGAGGCACCUCCAGUGGCGCUGGUGGGCAGGGUACUGCACCGUAAGUUCAUCCAUGUUAAUUCUAUUGCAGAUGCCCUCCGACCAGCCUGGGGCAACCCGAGGGGAUUGAGUUUUAACCCGGUAGGGGAGAACACUUUUGUUGCAAACCUGGAAAAUCAAAGGGAUCGAGAUCGCAUCUAUGGAGGCGGGCCGUGGAUGGUGGGGAAACACGCAGUAGUCUUGGAGCUAUUUGAUUUCAGGGCCCGGCCAUCUGAUUGGAAGUUUGAGAAGCUGCAGAUUUGGGCGAGGGUAAUCAAUCUGCCCUUUAAUCUCCGAUAUCCGCCAUGGCCUGAGCGCAUUGCAGGGAUGUUGGGAGAAGUAAUCAAGUUGGAUGUGGACGCAAAGGGUUUUGCCUUUGGUGAGUGCCUGAGAGCUCGAAUUUGGAUAAGAGUGCAGGAGCCCCUAAUGAGGUGGGUGCAGCUAGAAUCGGCUAGGACAAAGGAAUCUGUACUGUAUGAUAUCCAGUACGAGGGACUGCCGUAUUUUUGCUUCUCGUGUGGACGGCUUGGACAUGCCGAUGCCUUUUGCCCGGACCCAGGGGAAAGGGAUGAGGAGGGAUGCCUACCGUACGGGGAGAAACUUAGGUGGGUUGGAUCUCGCAAGAACUGGGCGAAUGCACCCCCAAUGAGCAGCAACGGGGGUAAGCAGGGCGCCAGGAGAGCGGAGGAGUGGGAUGGUGAAGAAGAAGAGGAAGUAGAGAAGGGAGAAGAGUCUCGAGAGGUGGAUGUGAAGCUCAACAAUUUGUCAAAUCAGCAUAUAGAUGUUAUGGUGAGGAAUGUGGGUAGCGACCAGAAGGAGUGGCGUUUUACGGGCUUUUAUGCCAAAGCAAAGAGGAGUGAACGGAGUGAGAGUUGGACACUUCUAAAGUGGCUACGGUGUCAGAUUGAUGUCCCUUGGCUGUGUGGUGGGGAUUUCAAUGAAAUAACAGACAACAUGGAAUAUUUUGGAGUCAAUGAAAGAGCAGAAUGGCAAAUGCAAGGUUUUAGGGAGAUCAUUGAUGAAUGCAAGUUUCAGGACUUGGGGUUCAAUGGAAUCCCGUACACGUGGGAUAACCGUCAGGAAGGUGAGGCGAACGUGAAGGUACGCUUGGAUAGAUUCCUAGCAGACCCGGGUUUCAUACAGAUGUAUGGAGAUACAGGAGUAAGACAUGUCCCAUCCCCACAGUCGGAUCAUUGCAUGCUAGUCAUUAAAAUCAAGAAACUGGUGGACUUCGAGGACAACGGAUCUCGCCGGUUCGUUUAUGAGGAGGCAUGGAGAAGGGAGGAGUCAUAUGAGGCCACGGUGGUGGCUGCAUGGGAGAUGGGCGCUCUUACACUUAAGGACCUCAACUCCUCUUUAAAUAACAUGCAGGGCCAACUCACCGAUUGGAAACAAAAGAAGUUUGGAGACAUAAAACAAAAACUGAAGAAAGUAAGGAAGGAGUUUGAGAGGGAGAAGGCGAACUCACUUGAUCCCAUACAUCUUGUAUCUGAUCUGAUGACGGAGGAGGGCGAGUGGAAUGAUGAAAUUAUCGAGAGAACCUUCAUUGCCCCGGAUGCAAAUGCUAUCAUGAACAUGCCAAGGCCGCGGGUAGCUAUACCUGAUUUUUGGGCAUGGGGCUAUGAGAGGUCCGGGAUCUUCACGGUUCGAUCAGCGUACAGAAUGUUGAUGGGAGAUCGGGAAGAGGUUUUGAACCAGGUUGGAAGCUCCUCCCAAGGGGAGGAGGUGUGGAAAUCAUUAUGGAGGCUGAAGGUCCAGCCCAAGAUACGAAUUUUCUGGUGGCGGGUCCUUAAAGGAUUCCUGCCGGCGAAGGAAGAGUUAUGCCGAAGACAUAUAGGGGAAGAUUAUACUUGCCCAAUGUGCGGCAAUAAGGAGGAAUCGCUGUUUCACUCUCUGGUUACAUGCAAUCAUGCCAAACUGUUUUGGAUAGAGGCAGAAGAUUUCUUCGAGUUCAAGAUACCAAAACUACAUCCAGCGACGUGGUCGCGGGAUUUGCUUGAUCCCAGUUUCAUUGGGAGAGACCGGGCGGCUGUCAUUAUAUCAGUCAUGUGGGCAAUCUGGUCAAGCAGGAACAAAUACACCCAUGAGGAAGUCAAAUAUCAGCCCGGGAGAUCGAUGGUCCUAGUGAAGGAACUCAUCCAAGCUGUGUACAUCCCGCCCAAUACAGAGGGGAGGUGUAUUACGAAGGAGAGAUGGAAGCCACCGGGAGCUGGUUGGUUGAAGAUCAAUACGGACGCUGCGCUGGAUGGAAACGGGGUUUCCUCAGCGAUCGGACUAGUGGCACGGGGCCAUGAUGGAGAAUUGAAGAUCGCGAGAGGCCGCAAGCUGCCCGGGUUACGGACCCGUAUUGUGCAGAGCUGCUAG
rnacentral:rRNA from 1 species